CGCGCCAUCAUAUAGGCGGCGGAGUGUCAAAAAUCAUCAUAUCCUUAAAGCAAAAUGAAGACUAAUACAGACGUAUGCUUUGGUCGUCAGCUAGCAGCGAGAGCAUGACCACGCCGCGACUGCUGGCAGCUUGGAUUAUUUUCUUCAACGAAGUUCCUCUUUCAUUGCAAGAGUCUCUCACACUUUACGCUGGAUGAUGUAGACCCUUCACAUACCAUUUCACCCUGUUGGAUACAACAAGAUCUCUCGAAACUUUCAGACAUACCCCUCAUCAGUUUUCCUCCCAUGCGUUCUCCUCGUUUCGUUCCAUCCGCACCCUCCAUUCACGUAAAAAUAAUAAUCGAACCCAAGCACCUGACAUCCCCUAUUAUCCUGCACCAGGCAGCAGAGUGCUAUCCAACAAGCGGCAGACGGUUUGUCUUCGCCGAGUGGACUAGAGUGAAGUUUCUCAUUUCUCUUGGCUAACGAAGGAUCAGGAUGUCUGGUCUACUGGAAACAAGAAACAAGAAACAAGAAUUGUUUCUACGAAGUAUGUCUGGAAAGAAAUGACACGAUAGUUGGAUGAUGAUUACAGUACCCACGUAUAUGAAGAUGCACAGCUCAAGCCCUCAUGUUCGCCAUAUAGUCGUAGCCACUCUAUACGAAUGUAUAGCAUACAUUGCCUAAAUGAGUCACAAUAUGUCGCCGCUGGUAUGGA
rnacentral:sRNA from 1 species